rnacentral:rRNA from 1 species
GAUGAACGCUGGCGGCGUGCCUAAUACAUGCAAGUCGAGCGAACAGAUGAGGAGCUUGCUUCUCUGACGUUAGCGGCGGACGGGUGAGUAACACGUGGAUAACCUACCUAUAAGACUGGGAUAACUUCGGGAAACCGGAGCUAAUACCGGAUAAUAUAUUGAACCGCAUGGUUCAAUAGUGAAAGACGGUUUUGCUGUCACUUAUAGAUGGAUCCGCGCUGCAUUAGCUAGUUGGUAAGGUAACGGCUUACCAAGGCAACGAUGCGUAGCCGACCUGAGAGGGUGAUCGGCCACACUGGAACUGAGACACGGUCCAGACUCCUACGGGAGGCAGCAGUAGGGAAUCUUCCGCAAUGGGCGAAAGCCUGACGGAGCAACGCCGCGUGAGUGAUGAAGGUCUUCGGAUCGUAAAACUCUGUUAUUAGGGAAGAACAUAUGUGUAAGUAACUGUGCACGUCUUGACGGUACCUAAUCAGAAAGCCACGGCUAACUACGUG